UGGGCCCUGAAUCAAGGCCAGCAGUUUGCUGAGGCUGUUGGUUUCAAGCAGGAGCCUAAAGAAUUAUCUUUCUACGGUCUGUUGGCCAUUUCAUGACUUCGGAAAUGUAGUGGCCAAUCCAUUAGAAAGAAACACGA
rnacentral:snoRNA from 1 species